CUGGAGGUAUCAGAAGUGCGAAUGCUGACAUAAGUAACGAUAAAGCGGGUGAAAAGCCCGCUCGCCGGAAGACCAAGGGUUCCUGUCCAACGUUAAUCGGGGCAGGGUGAGUCGACCCCUAAGGCGAGGCCGAAAGGCGUAGUCGAUGGGAAACAGGUUAAUAUUCCUGUACUUGGUGUUACUGCGAAGGGGGGACGGAGAAGGCUAUGUUGGCCGGGCGACGGUUGUCCCGGUUUAAGCGUGUAGGCUGGUUUUCCAGGCAAAUCCGGAAAAUCAAGGCUGAGGCGUGAUGACGAGGCACUACGGUGCUGAAGCAACAAAUGCCCUGCUUCCAGGAAAAGCCUCUAAGCAUCAGGUAACAUCAAAUCGUACCCCAAACCGACACAGGUGGUCAGGUAGAGAAUACCAAGGCGCUUGAGAGAACUCGGGUGAAGGAACUAGGCAAAAUGGUGCCGUAACUUCGGGAGAAGGCACGCUGAUAUGUAGGUGAAGCGACUUGCUCGUGGAGCUGAAAUCAGUCGAAGAUACCAGCUGGCUGCAACUGUUUAUUAAAAACACAGCACUGUGCAAACACGAAAGUGGACGUAUACGGUGUGACGCCUGCCCGGUGCCGGAAGGUUAAUUGAUGGGGUCAGCG
rnacentral:rRNA from 1 species